GAACGCUGUCCGCGUGCUUAAAAAAGCAAGUGGAGCGACGAACCAGGCUUCGGCCUGGGGCAUUGCCCCGAACGGGUGAGUAACACGUGGGUAACGUGCCCCGAUGACCGGGACAACCCGGGGAAACCCGGGCUAAUACCGGAUGUGCUGUCCCAACACCAGUUGGGAUUGGAAAGGAAGCUUCGGCCUCCGCAUCGGGAUCGGCCCGCGGCCCAUUAGCUUGUUGGUGAGGUAACGGCUCACCAAGGCUGCGAUGGGUAGCUGGUCUGAGAGGACGAUCAGCCACACUGGGACUGAGACACGGCCCAGACUCCUACGGGAGGCAGCAGUGGG
rnacentral:rRNA from 1 species